AAAGGACAAACAAGUAUAUGACCAAAAGUAGACAAAUAUAGGUUAUUGACAAUGAUAAUGGAAAACAUUUGAGGCCAAUGCCAGGGAUUUUUGCUUCAAAGCCUUUUGGAUCUGCAG